ACGGUUUAAGUCUUUAAAGUUACAAGAACUCUGAUUCAGUUUAAGAUUGUCUCUCAAAAGAAAAGGUAGAUACUUAUAGAUGCAUUAAGUUGCUUCCCAAAAGAUACUUUUUAUUCAACUUACAAGUUUUUUUUGGUAACAUUAUAUCCUUCUUAAAAAAUACAAAAAGAAUAAUAACGCCAGGAAAGGAAUAAGGAAGUGAGUAGGUUUUUUUUUUGGUACAAGCUUAAGGAAAAAAUAAGUUCCUAGUUUGUUUUCUUUGAUGCAAAAGAUACGUCAACGACAAAUAUCGCGUAUGUAAGAUCAAUCGAGUGAAGAAAAACAAAUUUUCCAUUUUUAAGCAGAUAGACGUGAAGCGGGUGAAGUGAAUUUUAAAUCGAGUACCAUACUACCAACAUCUUCAGCCAGACUUCGACUGUGUUCGAAUUCGCUAAGGACGAACGUAACGUCGAACAAGAAAAAAUGUCCUGAUUCGACUUUUGCCAUUAUCUUCAGUGUGUGGAAUCGAUUUCUUGUUUGUUCUCAUUUCUUUUUUUUUUAAAAAAGUUCUUUUUGGUGUGUUUAUUUUUGUUUCACUCGGGUGAAUAUUUUCGAAAAGAGUGCGAAGUGAAAAGAAGUGCAGAACAGCACAUGCAUGGUUUCAAGUGCAAUUUUUCUUCAGCACGCACGAUUUUAUGAAUAAAGAAUAUUGUAAUUGAAUUCGAGAACGUAAAAGGCAAAGAAUAAAAGUGUUCAAAGUGAUUUUUUAAGUCUUUUUUUGUUUUUGUUUUUUCGUUGGAGUGUUUACAAAGUACCUGUAAGGAGUUGAAGAUUUACAAAGAGUUCCCUUAUUUGGAUCGCUGGUUUUUGCACAAAGUGGAUUUCAAAUAACGAAACAGAAAUUCAAACAAAAGCCUUAAUUCCGGUAAUCAAAUAACCAACAAAGGACUACACAGAGAAGAACUUUAUAAGCCA